rnacentral:rRNA from 1 species
UACGAAGGGGGCUAGCGUUGUUCGGAAUUACUGGGCGUAAAGCGUGCGCAGGCGGGCUUUUAAGCCAGACGUGAAAUCCCCGGGCUUAACCUGGGAAUGGCAUUUGGGACUGCAAGGCUGGAGUUUGGCAGAGGAGACUGGAAUUCCUGGUGUAGCAGUGAAAUGCGUAGAUAUCAGGAGGAAUACCGACGGCGAAGGCAGGUCUCUGGGCUAUAACUGACGCUCAUGCACGAAAGCGUGGGGAGCAAACAGG